UACGGAGGGUGCGAGCGUUGUUCGGAAUUACUGGGCGUAAAGCGCGUGUAGGCGGUUGUUCAAGUCAGGUGUGAAAGCCUUGAGCUCAACUCAAGAAAUGCACUUGAUACUGGAUGACUAGAGGACCGGAGAGGAUAGUGGAAUUCCCAGUGUAGCGGUGAAAUACGUAGAGAUUGGGAAGAACACCAGUGGCGAAGGCGGCUAUCUGGACGGUUUCUGACGCUAAGACGCGAAAGCGUGGGGAGCAAACAGG
rnacentral:rRNA from 1 species